rnacentral:rRNA from 1 species
CUACGUGCCAGCAGCCGCGGUAAUACGUAGGGUGCGAGCGUUAAUCGGAAUUACUGGGCGUAAAGCGGGCGCAGACGGUUACUUAAGCAGGAUGUGAAAUCCCCGGGCUCAACCUGGGAACUGCGUUYUGAACUGGGUGACUAGAGUGUGUCAGAGGGAGGUAGAAUUCCACGUGUAGCAGUGAAAUGCGUAGAGAUGUGGAGGAAUACCGAUGGCGAAGGCAGCCUCCUGGGAUAACACUGACGUUCAUGCCCGAAAGCGUGGGUAGCAAACAGGAUUAGAUACCCUGGUAGUCCACGCCCUAAACGAUGUCGAUUAGCUGUUGGGCAGCAUGACUGCUUAGUAGCGAAGCUAACGCGUGAAAUCGACCGCCUGGGGAGUACGGUCGCAAGAUUAAAACUCAAAGGAAUUGACGGGGACCCGCACAAGCGGUGGAUGAUGUGGAUUAAUUCGAUGCAACGCGAAGAACCUUACCUGGUCUUGACAU